UAAUAGUGUAUAUUAAAGUUGUUGCAGUUAAAAAGCUCGUAGUUGAAUGUUGGUGUCGAACGAGCGGUCAGCUUCGGCUGUACUGCUCUCUCGACUCCUUCCUUCUGUGGACUACGUCGCACUUUACUGUGUGGCGCUAGGACGCAGAUCGUUUACUGUGAAAAAAUUAGAGUGUUCAAAGCAGGCCGUACGCUUGAAUACAUUAGCAUGGAAUAAUGGAAUAGGACGUCGGGCCUAUUUUGUUGGUUCUAGGACCGUCGUAAUGAUUAAUAGGGACAGUUGGGGCCGUUUAUAUUCCGUAGUCAGAGGUGAAAUUCUUGGAUUUACGGAAGAUAAACUACUGCGAAAGCAUUCGGCAAGGAUGUUUNCGUUAG
rnacentral:rRNA from 1 species